rnacentral:rRNA from 1 species
GGCUCAGGAUGAACGCUAGCGGCAGGCCUAACACAUGCAAGUCGAGGGGCAGCGCGGGUAGCAAUACCUGGCGGCGACCGGCGCACGGGUGAGUAACGCGUAUGCAACCUACCCUUCACUGGGGGAUAGCCCGCCGAAAGGCGGAUUAAUACCCCAUCGCCCCUGAGGGCGGCAUCGCACUCAGGGUAAAGGAGCAAUCCGGUGAGGGAUGGGCAUGCGUGCCAUUAGCUGGUUGGCGGGGUAACGGCCCACCAAGGCGACGAUGGCUCGGGGGUCUGAGAGGAUGGUCCCCCACACUGGUACUGAGACACGGACCAGACUCCUACGGGAGGCAGCAGUGAGGAAUAUUGGUCAAUGGGCGGAAGCCUGAACCAGCCAUGCCGCGUGCAGGAAGACGGCCCUACGGGUUGUAAACUGCUUUUCCGGGGGAAGAAUAAGGCCCAUGCGUGGGCCGAUGCCGGUACCCCGGGAAUAAGGAUCGGCUAACUCCGUGCCAGCAGCCGCGGUAAUACGGAGGAUCCGAGCGUUAUCCGGAUUUACUGGGUUUAAAGGGUGCGUAGGCGGGCGCUUAAGUCAGCGGUGAAAUACGGGGGCUCAACCUUCGAACGGCCGUUGAUACUGGGCGCCUUGGAUUCGGUCGAGGCGGGCGGAAUACGACAUGUAGCGGUGAAAUGCUUAGAUAUGUCGCAGAACGCCGAUUGCGAAGGCAGCUCGCCAGGCCGACAUUGACGCUGAGGCACGAAAGCGUGGGGAUCGAACAGGAUUAGAUACCCUGGUAGUCCACGCCGUAAACGAUGAUGGCUGGAUGUUGGCGAUACACCGUCAGCGUCUGAGGGAAACCAUUAAGCCAUCCACCUGGGGAGUAC